UCAGCUGAAGGCAAACAGGAGGCAACAAUUUUCUUUAUUUUGGGACCCAGGACGAAUGGAACCAGCGAAAAUGCAAACACAACUGACAGGGAGCAUUUUUCCCCAACCAAAUGCCUGCUCUCAGAAGUUUAAUAGGUUACUUUAUUGAUUUGUUAUCCCUCUAUGGCGCAGGAUGAACAUUCUCACACAGCAGGUGCUUUGAGUUUCUGUCUAGGGCCAUUCUUUUGGGAAUGCCGGGGUUUGUCUAGCGAGAUUGAUUGCCCACUGGGAUAAUAUCAGGACAGACCACCUGCCUAGCUACACGGUGAAGUGCGUACUUUCCAAAUGAAAAUUUGACAGCAAGCUUGCCUCCGUGCCGCAUCAAGUAAUUGCAUUAGGUGUUAUCGGACACAGAUACAGGAGCGCAGUCGAGCGUAGCAUGUGUCUGCAGCUCCAAAGGGCAGUGUCAGGCAUAGCUCGCAAUGACAUCGCCCUCCCCCAAGAUUGGCCCUCUCUCUUCUCCUUUAAGCCAUGUAAUAUCUCAGUUUGGUCACAGAAGGCUGCAGUGGUCUCUUAUGAAGUUCACAUCAUGCAGUGUUGGCAAAGGUCCAGCGUACAAGAGCAUCUGUUUAGAGGGUGAGCCUGGAAACUAUGCGAGAUGUGGAUCCUGGGUGGAAACCAAUAGUAGCAUUGCUCUACACGCAGAGGAUCUGUGGAGCUGACAGAUUGAAAUUCAAAUAUUUUUAUUUUAUAUUUUUAGGUGAUAUGAAGAGAAUGUGCUUAGCCGAUGCACAACAUGAAUGCAUUUUUAAAGUUAUAAAUUGCAACAGUGUUAUGUCUGCUAAUCUAAGGCUUUGAUCACAUUCAUCUGGAUAUAAAGAGUUUGGUUCCAAAACGAGAUAUCUUUUUUACAUUACAUUUUUUUUUACUGUUUUUAACAUUUUUCUACAUCUUGGACCUUGGAUUGUGCAUUCCAAUUAAUAUCAAAACUGCAGUUUGUUUGUUUUGAUUUAAGUCUUCAUAACUACAAAAAUACAGCUAAGUAGCACAAUAAAAACAUGAUAACAUAAUAAUAAACAUGUUUAAACCAAAAUUUUAAAAACAGAGUUAUCUCGUUUUGGAAUCAAACUCUUCAUAUAUAGUAUUUGAAAACCCAUCUUUAUCCCUGUAUUCUGACCAGCAAAAGCAAGAUGGAUAAAUUGGACUUACAGUACUAAAAUAUUGUUUAGAUUAAGUUAGAUGGAAAAAUGCAGAGCAAUAAAAAAAGAUGUAGCAAUAACAAAGCUAAAUGUGGCCCAAUUAUAUGUAACAUAAUGACUUUGUGUGACAAUCAUUUAGAGUUCAUUUAAAAGCUAUUAACAGAUCAUGUAGAUAAAAUAAAUGAUGUUGUGUAAUUGUUGUUAAUUAUGAUAAAACAGAAAUGUAAUCAUUUGCAGCCUAUUAAACAUUAAACAUGUAUUUCUAAUAUAACAUUACUUUAAA